CCGGUAGUGGAGGCUCUCUGACUCUGAUCAGACUCCUGACCUGACCAGUGUUUGGUGGCUGAUGCAGACUGCAAAACAACAAUAGUGCAGUGGAGGCAUAUGUCAAUGUAAACGGGCCAAUUGGCCUAGGCUGUCUCGUGGGUUGGGAUUUCGGGUCCUCCUCCUCCUCUUGGGCUUCGUCUUCGGACUCUUCUCCAUCUCCUGCGGGCGGCUUCACUGGAACGGAACAGGGGAGCUGACGGUGGGUGCGGUUUUUCCAUGGCGAUCGGCUGUGGUGACGGGUGACCUCGCUUCUCUCGCUUCUUGCCGUCCUUUUGCGAUCAAUAGCUUUCGCCUUUUGUGCAUCAGUGUAGGGUACAUUGCAGAAUGGACGAAUGGUUGAUUACUAAUGUUGCAGCUCGGUGCAGCUUCUACUUGUGUUGAAUACUAAUGGCGAGGUACAGCUUCUACUUGUGUUGCAGCUCAGUGCAUUUUAGGGAAUAGGUGCCAUUCACAUUUGAUUACUAAUGGAUGUAUUACAAUUGCAGAUUUUGCACUACUUUAGCUCAUUACAUGCAGAUUGCUUCAUGUUUUCUUUCUCUCUUUUUUUGGGUUUGCCAUGGUAAUUACUAAUUGGAUUGUCAUGCAUUUUCACAAGAUGUAACCUGGCAACCUUUCAGUGGUACUAAGAGCCUGUAACUUGCCUGAGAUCUGUUUGGUUGCUACCCUGAAGAUUCUAGCCUGAUGAAACUGGCCUGAGUGCACUAGCCCGAGUCAGAUAGGGAAAUGGUCGCCUGAGCUCCCCAUGCCAGCAUCUCCUACUUGCCUGAGUAUAAUCACCCCUUUGCUAUAUAAGAAAGAAAACGAAGACCACUUUCCCCUCCCCACUCACUGCUAGCAUAGGGUCUUUACAGAGGCAAAUCCCCACUGAUCUCCCCAUGGCUGCAGCGCCAGUGAUCGGGAAACUACUCCAACUUGCAAAUCCGGUGGUCAGCUUCUUCCCAUUAUGACUGAAGUGCCUCCAACAGAAGCUUUGCCACGAUCUGGUGCUGCAAGCUCAACCAUGGAUAUAGGAGAAAGCAACAAUAAUAGCAAGGGCAAAGGCGAGACAAGCAAACAAGUUGGGGGAUCAAGUGCCAGGGCAAAACCUAUUAAUUGGCCUCUAGCACUCUCUGAGUUUCUUCUUGAUUGGUACAUUGAAAAGAAGUUAGAGUUGCCACCAAAAGCAGUAAUAAAAAAAGAUGCAUCACACUGCAUGCACAUCAGCUAUAAAAGGGAAGUAUGACACUAUUUAAACUAUUGAUCAAGUUUAGCACCACUACAGGCAUCAUAAAGAGACUUGGUCACUUGUAUCUCGCCAUCUAAAUGAGAGUAGUAGUGGCUGGGACAAAAUAAUGAAGAUGUUAUCUCUCUCCCAAUCUACUUUGUAUGAACUAUCGGUAAUCACUAAUCAUUUAGAAUACAUAAUAUUUGAAAAGUUCUUGAUGAAAUUUUGCCUUGCAGAUAAAUGACUGGAAUUCUUUCAAAGCCAAUUUAGUUCUUCAACAAGUUGCAAGAAUUGUUUAGUAGUUCCUCAGCGGAUGGAAUGUUUAUGCAAGAUCCUUCCAGUGUUGCUAAUUUUGAUGAUGAAGCUAACAUAUUUGAUCCUCUAAAUAAUAUGUCAGCCUAUGCUGAAACAAAAGAUCCACAGGGGGAAGACUUGGACAAACUAGAGUCAGAUAGUGAUGAUUCCAAGGAGGUGGUGGCCCUUAGUGCAGCUGCUAGCCAAGUUUCAUCAUCUAAUACAUGUGGUUUGAAGCCAAACAAGAAGAAUUUCAAAAGGUGUGGGAAGCCAAAGACGCUACCCCAAUCACAUAAUGAUAAGGGUAACAAGCUUAAGGCAAAAUCAAUACCUGCAUUGCAUGAUGACAAUAAUGUUGACGUGCUGAUCAGCAGUACCUUGGUUGGAAUCAAAGAUACCCUUGCAAAACCAAUACAAACUGUAGCACCGCAAGACCCAAAUGGUCCUCUAUGGGACAUGCUCAAGAAUAUAGCCUUAGAACCUAAUGAUAAGAUGAGAGUAGGAAUGCACCUUUGCAAGUCAGAAUUUCAAGCUCAGCCUAGUUUUCUUAUGAGCAUGGGUCAAGAAUACCUUGAGUGUUUGAUCUAAAGAGUUUUAUCGGGUGAUGAUCCGAAUCUCUAGUGACUUAUAGGUGUUGAUUGGUGGCAAAAGCUUAUCGUGGUUGAUGAGGGACUAUUUUUGUUGCACACUUUUGAUUAUGCAAUUGCUGCACUAUUUGUGUUUAAAAAAUUGCUAAAUAUUAACUUAGGUACUAUAGUGAUGCAUGUUGUGAUAGGCUGCUAAUAUGCUAGCUGUGGUGUUUUCUAACUUUUGGACAUAUUGAUAAUCUGAUAGCUUUGUGACUCUUUACUUUUGUGUCGUAUAAGUUAUGCUAUUAUUGGCUGGAACAA